GUCUUAACCGGGCGUUAAGUUGCAGGGUAUAGACCCGAAACCCGGUGAUCUAGCCAUGGGCAGGUUGAAGGUUGGGUAACACUAACUGGAGGACCGAACCGACUAAUGUUGAAAAAUUAGCGGAUGACCUGUGGCUGGGGGUGAAAGGCCAAUCAAACCGGGAGAUAGCUGGUUCUCCCCGAAAGCUAUUUAGGUAGCGCCUCGUGAAUUCAUCUCCGGGGGUAGAGCACUGUUUCGGCUAGGGGGCCAUCCCGGCUUACCAACCCGAUGCAAACUGCGAAUACCGGAGAAUGUUAUCACGGGAGACACACGGCGGGUGCUAAUGUCCGUCGUGAAGAGGGAAACAACCCAGAC
rnacentral:rRNA from 1 species